rnacentral:rRNA from 1 species
AGCGAACGCUGGCGGCAGGCCUAACACAUGCCAGUCGAACGAACCUUUCGGGGUUAGUGGCGGACGGGUGAGUAACACGUGGGAACGUGCCUUUAGGUUCGGAAUAACUCAGGGAAACUUGUGCUAAUACCGAAUGUGCCCUUCGGGGGAAAGAUUAAUCGCCUUUAGAGCGGCCUGCGUCUGAUUAGCUAGUUGGUUGAGGUAAUGGCUCACCAAGGCGACGAUCAGUAGCUGGUCUGAGAGGAUGAUCAGCCACAUUGGGACUGAGACACGGCCCAAACUCCUACGGGAGGCAGCAGUGGGGAAUCUUGCGCAAUGGGCGAAAGCCUGACGCAGCCAUGCCGCGUGAAUGAUGAAGGUCUUAGGAUUGUAAAAUUCUUUCACCGGGGACGAUAAUGACGGUACCCGGAGAAGAAGCCCCGGCUAACUUCGUG